rnacentral:rRNA from 1 species
AUAUACAUGUCAAGCUUCGAGUCGAAUCGAUGGGAGCUUGCUCCCUGAGNAUUAGCGGCGGACGGGUGAGUAACACGUGGGCAACCUGCCUAUAAGACUGGGAUAACUUCGGGAAACCGGAGCUAAUACCGGAUACGUUCUUUUCUCGCAUGAGAGAAGAUGGAAAGACGGUUUACGCUGUCACUUAUAGAUGGGCCCGCGGCGCAUUAGCUAGUUGGUGAGGUAAUGGCUCACCAAGGCGACGAUGCGUAGCCGACCUGAGAGGGUGAUCGGCCACACUGGGACUGAGACACGGCCCAGACUCCUACGGGAGGCAGCAGUAGGGAAUCUUCCGCAAUGGACGAAAGUCUGACGGAGCAACGCCGCGUGAACGAAGAAGGCCUUCGGGUCGUAAAGUUCUGUUGUUAGGGAAGAACAAGUACCAGAGUAACUGCUGGUACCUUGACGGUACCUAACCAGAAAGCCACGGCUAACUACGUGCCAGCAGCCGCGGUAAUACGUAGGUGGCAAGCGUUGUCCGGAAUUAUUGGGCGUAAAGCGCGCGCAGGUGGUUCCUUAAGUCUGAUGUGAAAGCCCACGGCUCAACCGUGGAGGGUCAUUGGAAACUGGGGAACUCGAGUGCAGAAGAGGAAAGUGGAAUUCCAAGUGUAGCGGUGAAAUGCGUAAAGAUUUUGGAGGAACACCAGUGGCGAAAGGCGACUUUCUGGUCUGUAACUGACCCUGAGCCCCGAAGCCUUGGGGAGCAAACAGGAUAAAUACCCUGGUAGGUCCAAGGCCGUAAACAG